rnacentral:rRNA from 1 species
GACGAACGCUGGCGGCGUGCUUAACACAUGCAAGUCGAACGGAAAGGCCCUGCUUUUGUGGGGUGCUCGAGUGGCGAACGGGUGAGUAACACGUGAGUAACCUGCCCUUGACUUUGGGAUAACUUCAGGAAACUGGGGCUAAUACCGGAUAGGAGCUCCUGCUGCAUGGUGGGGGUUGGAAAGUUUCGGCGGUUGGGGAUGGACUCGCGGCUUAUCAGCUUGUUGGUGGGGUAGUGGCUUACCAAGGCUUUGACGGGUAGCCGGCCUGAGAGGGUGACCGGCCACAUUGGGACUGAGAUACGGCCCAGACUCCUACGGGAGGCAGCAGUGGGGAACAUUGCCCAAUGGGCGGAAGCCUGAUGCAGCAACGCCGCGUGCGGGAUGCCGGCCUUCGGGUUGUAAACCGCUUUCGCCUGUGACGAAGCGUGAGUGACGGUAAUGGGUAAAGAAGCACCGGCUAACUACGUG